GGUCGCUUAGCUCAGUUGGUUAGAGCGUGGUGCUAAUAACUUGGGAUCUUCAAAAGAGCUUCCAAACUGUUAAACGCCAAGGUCGCGAGUUCGACCCUCGUAGUGACCA